GCAGCUGUGGCCUACUGGUUAGCGCUUCGGACUUGUAACCGGAGGGUUGCCGGUUCGAGCCCCCGACCAGUAGGCA
rnacentral:tRNA from 1 species